AGAGACGAGUCAGAGUUUGAUCCUGGCUCAGGAUGAACGCUGGCGGCGUGCUUAACACAUGCAAGUCGAACGAAGUGCUUUAGAACAAUCCCUUCGGGGUGCGUUCUAAAGUAUCUUAGUGGCGGACGGGUGAGUAACGCGUGGGUAACCUGCCUCAUGCAGGGGGAUAACAGUUAGAAAUGACUGCUAAUACCGCAUAAGCGCACAGUAUCGCAUGAUACAGUGUGAAAAGAUUUAUCAGCAUGAGAUGGACCCGCGUCUGAUUAGCUAGUUGGUGAGGUAACGGCUCACCAAGGCGACGAUCAGUAGCCGACUUGAGAGAGUGAUCGGCCACAUUGGGACUGAGACACGGCCCAA
rnacentral:rRNA from 1 species